rnacentral:sRNA from 2 species
CCCUGGCAAAUAGCUCCUGAUUGAGAGUGCAGGCUCCAAAGAUGGGUGUGUCGUUGAAACACCCCUCUCUUUUGGAGACAGCGACCGCUCCUCCAGCUCUCCAUUCAUCAACGUAUUCUACGAUCUGCUUUCGCCCUGGCUUCGUGUGUCCUGGCAACAUCGUACGGGGUGAAGUUGAGGUCCAGAGUUAGCUUCAGCCAAGUGGCAGUCUUGCUCCUCCCAGAGAGAAUUUUUUAUCAUUCUCUAGUCAGCAUUUCGAGCUAAUGUUAUGCGGAUGCGGGCUGGGGAGGUUAGACGUUAGACCUGCGGUGUUCCAGCAUUAAUGUGGAAUCACUCCUCUCACUCCUUCCCCAGGGAACUCUGGAGCGCUUCAACGGGAAAUCAUUUUGCUGGGUGGAUUCCUUCGGCGUGAAAAGAUAGGUAGAAUCAGUGGCUG